CCUACGGGAGGCAGCAGUGAGGAAUAUUGGUCAAUGGACGAGAGUCUGAACCAGUCAAGUAGCGUGAAGGAUGACUGCCCUCUGGGUUGUAAACUUCUUUUAUAUGGGAAUAAAAUGUUCCACGUGUGGGAUUUUUUAUGUACCAUAUGAAUAAGGAUCGGCUAACUCCGUGCCAGCAGCCGCGGUAAUACGGAGGAGCCGAGCGUUAUCCGGAUUUAUUGGGUUUAAAGGGAGCGUAGGUGGAUUGUUAAGUCAGUUGUGAAAGUUUGCGGAUCAACCGUAAAAUUGCAGUUGAAACUGGAAGUCUUGAGUACAGUAGAGGUGGGCGGAAUUCGUGGUGUAGCGGUGAAAUGCUUAGAUAUCACGAAGAACUCCGAUUGCGAAGGCAGCUCACUGGACUGCAACUGACACUGAGGCUCGAAAGUGUGGGUAUCAAACAGGAUUAGAUACCCCAGUAGUC
rnacentral:rRNA from 1 species